ensembl:lncRNA
CAGAAUCAUAUGCAUGGCACCAAGAGUGUCUGAAAAAAAUGUGCGCCAGGAUAUGGGGUGCCCUUCUCCCACUUUGCCCAGCUCAAGGGCACAGGGUACCCAGGACUCCAGAAGAACGCUCAAACAAAGAAACAAAAAGUCCCAGACUUACUUACAAAAGUAAGUAAGAUUGGUGGAAAAGAUAAACAUCUAAGACCUUUCUGGCUCGCUCCUCGUCUGUGUGGGUGGCUUCAGCUGGGGCACACUGGGGACAAGAGGCAGUGCUGUUCGUAGUAGUCAGCGAGACCGGCAUAACCUGGGACACAUGAUUGUUCUUGUUCCUGUGGCCUCUGGCUAUACUAGAUUGUUCAUUCAGCCAUCUAGAGGCCUUCCGAAGAGAAAUGAGACAUGAUUCGUGUUUGACACCUGUGGGAGGUGAUGCCGUCCAUACACGGUCCGUCACGGGAUGAGCUCCAGUUUCGUCGCCGUCGUCGUUGUGGUAGGGUCCAAACUGGACUUGGACUUUGGAUCCUUCCACCUUCUACUCCUCAACUGGAAGGGUUAUAGACGUGUGACCCCCAUGUCAAGCUUGAGCCCCAAUUUUUUAACCAAGAAGCUUUAAUUCAGCACAUAGGACAGGAAGAAAGGAUGGAGAGGCUCACUGACAAGUGUACUUUCAGUGUGAUCCGCUGGACUUGGUUUUGUCUUCGAUAGGGCCGUUGUUCUCCGGACAUCCCCAUCCCCGUGGGUCAGUUUGCUCCCUGGUGUGGCUACAGAGCAGUAAUCCUACCUCAGCCGCUUGUAUCUGCCAGCCCUGGCUGAGAAGGUACAUUUCCCUUUGGUGGGUGAAUAUUAAGAAGUCAGGUGUUCCGUGCAAAUCUCAGGCCAUUGUUCCAUAGCUGGCAGAGGCCUCCAGGAAGGAAGGCCUCCCACCUGAAUAUCGGCCCCGUGAGCCUUGAACUCGACAAGUCUCGAAUGCUUAGGAAGGUGACGUUAUUUUAAGGAACAGGUCAAAGGUUGCCCGGAUACAGACCUCCUGCAAGGAGCCGGUUUCUCUACUGGCCUGCAGCCAAUCUGUGCAGGGAAAGGAGC